UAUAUAAGGUUUUAUAAUGGUUGGUCCUCGUAAGAUAAAAAAUGCAGCUACACUAAAAUAAAAUUCCUAUUUAUUGUGGUGCUAACUUGGUAGUCACAAUUUUCAUGCGCAAAUGCUUCUCAUAUGAAAAAAAGUGAAAAAAUAAUUUUUUUCAAGCUCUUCGUCAUGGAGGAAUAAUUUCUUGGUUAACCUUCGGGUGAUUACAGGGUUACGAUCUAUGAGGAGCGGAUCUGUUGGUUUUGAUUCGCAUAGUGGUGAUGAAAUUUUAGUUUUUUUCAUUUGUUUUUCAUUUUAUUUGCUUAAAUUUUGAUCCUUUUUCUUUCCGGGUAUGAAUGCAAGUUGUAAUUCCAUUUGACACAGGUAUUUGCUCGGAUUUCUUCCAUUUCUUUUGUUUCUGAGUGAAUCUCUUUUCCCCUUUCUAGGUUGUUGUGUGUAUUGUUGUAUUAGGUACAACAACAACAGGGACCUGAUUUUCUUUCAAAUUUCUUUUUUGUUCUUAAUUAGAUAUAGCUCUGCUUUGAAUCAUCAAGCCCCCUUGAUUCUUCUCCUGUUUUAGGUUGUCGUCGGUAUGGUGAUUUUUGAUACCAAACAACAGGGUUCUGGAAUUUUGAAUCUACCUUUAGUCUGAUUUCCUUAUACUUUCUGAUUAUAAUUCCUUAUAUAAGUGUACCUGGAUUGUAAUUGAUUAAUUAGUUGUUUAUACCUUAGCUGUGUAUGUGGAUUUGUGUUUUGCAAUCCAUAUUUCUUUGCCUAAAAUCCCAAUGGUGAUUGGGUCCUGUUUAUUACUCGUUGCCUUUAUGUUGUUUGAUAAUAGUCCCGAACUGUCGCCUGUGAUUAAUGGGUUCUCAUGCAUCCUAUUUGGUGUUGUUUGAACACCUGGGUCUCUCCUGUUUAGUUUGCUAAUUUGCUACAAGAGUGUUUAGUAUUUAAAGUAAGUAAUUUAUGGAUUUUUACUCUUGUUUAGGUGUAGGUGCAUCUGUUCAAGUCAUAUUUUCAAGACUUAUCCAUUAGGUAAACAAGUGUAUGUGCACUUUGUUUUUAAAAGAAUCAUGCUUAAUUUUCUAAUUUCUAUUCUAAUCUUUCGGGUUUAUGGGAUUGUUGCUCUCGUUUAUGGUUUUGAAUUAAUCUCCUUUCCCCUUCUCUAGGUUGUUGUGGGUAUUGUUGUAUUAGAUACAAAAGCAACAGGGGAUUGGGGAUUUUUUCCUGUCUUUGGUUUUAAGCUUCUCCUCCCCUGUUUAGGUUGUCGUUGGUAUUGUAGUAAUUGAUACAAGAACAACAGGGGGGUUUUGAAGCUUGAACCUGCUUUUGCUUAUUUGAUUAAUCUGUUUCUUUCUGCUCUAAUUGUGUGGUGCUUGAUCCAUCCUUAUUUUUGGUUUGUUAAACCCCAAUGAAGAUUGGGUAUGUGGAGUUAAAAUUGGUAAUCGUUUAUAUCCCAGCGAUGAUUGGGUUUAGUUUAGCCUUUGGCUUUGUUGCCUUUCAUCUGUUUGAUAAAAGUCCUAAACGUGGUUGAUUGUUUUAAUCCUAUAUCCAAUGUUUGAUUGGGUUCUCAUUCAUUUUCUUUUGUCUUUCCCUUAUUAAUCCCUUUGUUGAUUAUAUUUUGCAGAUCACUUUCUUUCUAAAAACAUUUUUGAAAAUUAAUCAGUUGUUUAAAAAAAAAAAAUCAAUCUAUCUUUUUAUUUUGGAUCUUCCAUUAGUAUAAUUGAACGCUUGUUUCUCUUUUAAAAGUUUUAAUUGGGAUCUAGGAAUGGUUCGUAAUCUUAAACAUUUCAGCGAUGUUGAUCGUUGUUCAAGUGCAUGUGCACUUGUUACUUAUAUUUAAAAAAAAAAUGAAUUAGUAUCAACUCUUUCUCCAUUUGGGUUGCUUUAUGAAACAAGUGUAUGUGCAUUCUGUUUUGAAGGAAAGAAGGAGAAAUUUUUAAGUUUUUAUAAAAAGAAGAAAAAUGAUCUCUUAAUUUGUGUAUUAUUGUUCAGAAAAUAGAUAGGUCUUCUGUUGGGAAGGUUGCAAAGUUGUUUUAAAGAAUUUUAUGGUGUGAAAAUUGGUGUUAUUAUGGGUUCUCUAGUCAUUUCAAUUGCUUUGGUAUGGUAAGAAAUAAUGUGUGAUUACCUCCAUCUAGAGUUUUAUUUUAUGAAAUUAAAGGAUAUGUUGUGUUCCUUUUAGCGUUUAUGUUAGUAUAAAAUUCUUUAGGACACCUUAUUAGGAGUUAAUCUUAUGAAGAUUCAGAGUUGUCUUAUCUUUGUAAGUACUUUUGUCAACUUUGUGUGUUAUUGGUUUGCAAAUUCCUUCUUGCCUUCAGGUUAAUUUAUUUUUUUCAUGUGUCUGCCCAUCUUUGUUAAGGGUCUAAUAGAGAGGUACCCUGACUCAGCUCUUAUUUUUCAGCAUUUUAGUGGAACCGUUAUUAUUUUCUGUGUAGUUAUCAAUUGCAUGUUUUCUCUUUUGGUUGAUUGAUUUUACGUUAGGAGAUAAUAGUGAUUAGUUUCUUCCCACUAUUCAAUGUUAAGUAUUUACAACUAAUUAAAGUAAAAUCAUCACACAUCCAGUCAUAAAUCUCAAAUCUAAACCUCCGCUCCUCUGACCCGACAAAACCCAAAGGUACCUUUCGAGCAGCAGAAUGCGGAUGGUGCAGGACCUUCUCAGCUCAAGAGGCAGAAGUUGUAACUCUGGUAAGCGCAGUUCAAUGGGCCAUCAAACACAAUGUUCAAAAUUUGACGAUACAAGGAGAUAACCAGGCAACCAUAAAAUAUUUACAAGGAAAGACAAAAGAUGUGAACUGACAAUGCUUAGGAAUCUUGGAGGAAGUUCAACAAACAAGAGACAAACUAGUUUCUUUUAAAGGUUUUUAGUAUGUAAUAGACUCGCAAACAGGGUGGUAGACUUGUUGGUAAAAAAAGGGCGACAAUCAAGUAACACAACUUUAUGGACUGAUCAAGCUCCUAGCUUUUUAAUUGCUGCAAUAGCUUUUGACACAGUCAAAGCAUAUGAAUUAUGUAACUCUAUAAUGACAGUACCUUUAUAUCUUGUUCAAUCAUGAUUAAUCCAACAAAUUCAGUCAUUCGACGAGCAA